rnacentral:rRNA from 1 species
UAAGCCUGCGAAGGUGGCCUGUGAGGGUUGCUGGAGGUAUCAGAAGUGCGAAUGCUGACAUAAGUAACGAUAAAGCGGGUGAAAAGCCCGCUCGCCGGAAGACCAAGGGUUCCUGUCCAACGUUAAUCGGGGCAGGGUGAGUCGACCCCUAAGGCGAGGCCGAAAGGCGUAGUCGAUGGGAAACGGGUUAAUAUUCCCGUACUUGGUGUUACUGCGAAGGGGGGACGGAGAAGGCUAUGUUGGCCGGGCGACGGUUGUCCCGGUUUAAGCGUGUAGGUGUGUGUUCCAGGUAAAUCCGGUUCACUUUAACACUGAGGCGUGACGACGAGGCACUACGGUGCUGAAGCAACAAAUGCCCUGCUUCCAGGAAAAGCCUCUAAGCAUCAGGUAACAUCAAAUCGUACCCCAAACCGACACAGGUGGUCAGGUAGAGAAUACCAAGGCGCUUGAGAGAACUCGGGUGAAGGAACUAGGCAAAAUGGUGCCGUAACUUCGGGAGAAGGCACGCUGACACGU